rnacentral:rRNA from 1 species
CUACGAGGGGUGCAAGCGUUAAUCGGAAUUACAGGGCGUAAAGCGCUCGUAGGCGGUUUAUUAAGCAAGAUGUGAAAGCCCAGGGCUCAACCUUGGAACUGCAUUUUGAACUGGUAGACUAGAGUACUGUAGAGGGUGAUGGAAUUUCCAGUGUAGCGGUGAAAUGCGUAGAGAUUGGAAGGAACAUCAGUGGCGAAGGCGGCCACCUGGACAGAUACUGACGCUGAGGUGCGAAAGCGUGGGUAGCAAACAGGAUUAGAUACCCUAGUAGUCC